rnacentral:rRNA from 1 species
GAUGAACGCUAGCGGCAGGCCUAAUACAUGCAAGUCGAGGGGCAGCGGGGUAGCAAUACUGCCGGCGACCGGCGCACGGGUGCGUAACACGUAUGCAACCUACCUUAAACUGGGAGAUAGCCCGGGGAAACUCGGAUUAAUACCCCAUAAUACAUUGGUUCACAUGAAUUGAUUGUUAAAGAUUUAUCGGUUUAAGAUGGGCAUGCGUUCGACUAGCUAGUUGGUAAGGUAACGGCUUACCAAGGCUACGAUCGAUAGGGGGUCUGAGAGGAUGAUCCCCCACACUGGUACUGAGAUACGGACCAGACUCCUACGGGAGGCAGCAGUAGGGAAUAUUGGUCAAUGGAGGCAACUCUGAACCAGCCAUGCCGCGUGUAGGAAGAAGGCGUUCUGCGUUGUAAACUACUUUUGAUUGGGAACAAAUGACUCUUGCGAGAGUAGCUGAGUGUACCAAUAGAAUAAGCCACGGCUAACUACGUGCCAGCCGCCGCAGUAA